AUAUUUCCGCAGUGGCGAUAUGAAGCCGAUGAGGUUAAUCCGAGGCAUUGCUAGCUGAAAACUAUAUAUUAUAUAUUCACAAUUUUUCAAGACUCGUAACGAA
rnacentral:sRNA from 1 species